rnacentral:rRNA from 1 species
AUUGAACGCUGGCGGCAGGCCUAACACAUGCAAGUCGAACGAGUGGCGGACGGGUGAGUAAUUUCUGGGAAACUGCCUGAUGGAGAGGGAUAACUCAUGGUAACGGUAGAUAAUACCGCAUACCAUCGGAUGUGCCCAGAUGGAAUGAGCUAGAAGGUAGGGUAAAGGCUCACCUAGGCGACGAUCCAUAGCUGGUCUUAGAGGAUGACCAGCCACACGGGAACUGAGACACGGUCCAGAAUCCUACGGGAGGCAGCAGUGGGGAAUAUUGCACAAUGGGCGCAAGCCUGAUGCAGCCAUGCCGCGGGUAUGAAGAAGGCCUUCGGGUUGUAAAGUACUUUCAGCGGGGAGGCGUUACCCGCAGAAGAAGCACCGGCUAACUCCGUGACAGCAGCCGCGGUAAUUC